rnacentral:rRNA from 1 species
UACGAAGGGGGCUAGCGUUGCUCGGAAUUACUGGGCGUAAAGCGCACGUAGGCGGCUCUUUAAGUCGGGGGUGAAAUCCUGGAGCUCAACUCCAGAACUGCCUUCGAUACUGGAGAGCUUGAGUCCGGGAGAGGUGAGUGGAACUGCGAGUGUAGAGGUGAAAUUCGUAGAUAUUCGCAAGAACACCGGUGGCGAAGGCGGCCAACUGGACCAUUACUGACGCUGAGGCGCGAAAGCGUGGGGAGCAAACAGG